AAGUCCAGCCUGCCCAGUGACAUAGUUAAACGGCCGCGGUACCCUAACCGUGCGAAGGUAGCGCAAUCACUUGUUCUUUAAAUGAGGACUAGUAUGAAUGGCAUCACGAAGGCUACACUGUCUCCCCCCUCCAAUCAGUGAAACUGAUCUCCCCGUGAAGAAGCGGGGAUAAAACCAUAAGACGAGAAGACCCCAUGGAGCUUAAAACUCAGUUUCACCUGCACACCAAUAUAUCACACCAACCCUGCAGACCUGACUACUAGUUUUCGGUUGGGGUGACCGCGGAGCAAAACAAAACCUCCACGACGAAAGGACAUCUCCCUAAUCCAAGAGCAACAACUCUAAGAAUCAAAAAAUUGACGUUGCUUGAUCCAAAUUUAUUUGAUCAACGAACCAAGUUACCCUGGGGAUAACAGCGCAAUCCAUUUCAAGAGCUCCUAUCGACAAAUGGGUUUACGACCUCGAUGUUGGAUCAGGGUAUCCCAGUGGUGCAGCCGCUACUAAAGGUUGGUUUGUUCAACGAUUAAAACCCUA
rnacentral:rRNA from 1 species